rnacentral:rRNA from 1 species
UACGAAGGGGGCUAGCGUUGCUCGGAAUCACUGGGCGUAAAGCGCACGUAGGCGGCUUUCUAAGUCAGGGGUGAAAUCCUGGAGCUCAACUCCAGAACUGCCUUUGAUACUGGAGAGCUUGAGUCCGGAAGAGGUGAGUGGAACUCCGAGUGUAGAGGUGAAAUUCGUAGAUAUUCGGAAGAACACCAGUGGCGAAGGCGGCUCACUGGUCCGGUACUGACGCUGAGGUGCGAAAGCGUGGGGAGCAAACAGGGAUUAAGAAACCCU